GAUGAAGAACGUAGCGAAAUGCGAUACGUAAUGUGAAUUGCAGAAUUCAGUGAAUCAUCGAAUCUUUGAACGCACAUUGCGCCUGCCAGCACUCUGGCAGGCAUGCCUGUUCGAGCGUCAUUUCAACCAUCAAGCCCUAGGCUUGCGUUGGAGCCCUGCGGCUGCCGCAGGCCCCUAAAAGCAGUGGCGGGCUCGCUAUCACACCGAGUGCAGUAGAUUACUCUUCGCUCAGGGCGUGUGGCGGGUUCCAGCCGUGAAACCCCCUACGUCUCAAGGUUGACCUCGGAUCAGGUAGGAAUACCCGCUGAACUUAAGCAUAUCAAUAAGCGGAGGA
rnacentral:misc_RNA from 1 species